AUACUUACCUGGCAGGGGAGAUGACAUGAUCACAAAGGUGGUUUUCCCAGGGUGAGGCUUAUCCAUUGCACUCUGGAUGUGCUGACCCUUGCGAUUUCCCCAAAUGCUGGAAUCUCGGCUGCAUAAUUUGUGGUAGUGGGGAACUGUGUUUGUGCUUUCCCCUG
rnacentral:snRNA from 1 species